AUUGAACGCUGGCGGCAGGCCUAACACAUGCAAGUAGAACGAGUGGCGGAAGGGUGAGUAAUGUCUGGGAAACUGCCUGAUGGAGGGGAAUAACUACUGGAAACGGUAGCUAAUACCGCCUACCAUCGGAUGUGCACAGAUGGGAUUAGCUAGGAGGUGGGGUAACGGCUCACCGAGGCGACGAUCCCUAGCUGGUCUGAGAGGAUGCACAGCCACACUGGAACUGAGACACGGUCCAGACUCCUACGGGAGGCAGCAGUGGGGAAUAUUGCACAAUGGGGGCAAGCCUGAGGCAGCCAUGCCACGUGUAUGAAGAAGGCCUUCGGGUUGUAAAGUACUUUCAGCGAGGAGGCGUUACCCGCAGAAGAAGCACCGGCUAACUCCGUGCCAGCCGCCGCGGUAAUAC
rnacentral:rRNA from 1 species